rnacentral:rRNA from 1 species
GGUACGGGGGGGGCAAGCGGUUGUUCGGAAUUACUGGGGCGUAAAGGGCUCGUAGGCGGCCAACUAAGUCAGACGUGAAAUCCCUCGGGCUUAACCGGGGAACUGCGUCUGAUACUGGAUGGCUUGAGUGUGGGAGAGGAAUGCGGAAUUCCAGGUGUAGCGGUGAAAUGCGUAGAUAUCUGGAGGAACACCGGUGGCGAAGGCGGCAUUCUGGACCAUUACUGACGCUGAGGAGCGAAAGCCAGGGGAGCAAACGGG